rnacentral:rRNA from 1 species
GAUGAACGCUGGCGGCGUGCUUAAUACAUGCAAGUCGAACGGAAAGGCCAGGAUCUUGCGGGGUGCUCGAGUGGCGAACGGGUGAGUAACACGUGAGUAAACUGCCCUUGACUGUGGGAUAACUCUAGGAAACUGGGGCUAAUACACGAUAGGAGCUCCUGCUGCAUGGUGGGGGUUGGAAAGUUUCGGCGGUUGUGGCUGGACUCGCGGCUUAUCCGCGUGGUGGUGAGGUAGUGGCUUACCAAGGUUUUGACGGGUAGCCGGCAUGAGAGGGUGACCGGGCACAAUGGGACUGAGAUAGGGACCAGAAUCCUACGGGAGGCAGUAGUGGGGAAUUUUGCGCAAUGGGCGGGAGCCUGAUGCAGCAACGCCGCGUGCGGGAUACCGGCCUUCGGGUUGUAAACCACUUUCGCCUGUAACGAAGAGUGAGUGACGGUAAUGGGUAAAGAAGCACCGGCUAACUACGUG